ACAACUACUCGGCUGAUUCCGUCGAGCACAUACGCUUCUCUCUCUCUCUCUCUCUCUCUCUCUCUCUCUCCCCCUCUCUCUCGCCUCUCUCUCUCUCUGCACGCGCCGACGCCAUGGACAAACCUCCGGCGGCAGCAGCGGCCAACAAGGUUGGCAAUCCUCCGGCGGCUGUGGUGUUCUUGUUUCACAGCUGAAGGUGGUGGUGAUAGCUCCUGCAGCGACUGUGGUCGUCAAUCCACCAGCGAACAACGUGGCCGUCAAUCCACCAGCAGAGGCGGCGUCAGCGUGUGGCGCUGCGGAAGUUCUGCUGCUGCUUGUUCCCUUCUCCAUUUUGGUGAUCGGCCUGCCUCUGCUGCUGAACUGGUACCUCCAAAACUAGAGAAACUAUGUCACGUCUGGAGUAAGACUGCAGGAGUGCGCCACACCCGAUGAGGACGACGGUAAAUAAGGUGGCGCGAGCGCAAGUGUGUGUUAAGUUAUCGUGUGUGGCCUGCGUGCCACCUGUGUGGGGCUUAUAAGCUGUGUGCUGUACUAGAAUCAAGUCUGAAGAUAAGAGUAAACUGAACUCUACUCCUACC